UAUGUGAUCGUCUCUCGCAUAUCAAUAAGCGGAGGAAAAGAAACUAACAAGGAUUCCCCUAGUAACGGCGAGUGAAGCGGGAAGAGCUCAAAUUUGAAAUCUUAAAGGGUUUCCCUUUACGAAUUGUAGUUUAAAGAAGUGUUUUCUGUUGAGGUUUUGGUAAAAGUUCUUUGGAAUAGGACAUCAUAGAGGGUGAGAAUCCCGUAUUUGACCUUUACUUUCAACUUUGUGAUACACUUUCAAAGAGUCGGAUUGUUUGGGAAUGCAGUCCAAAAUGGGUGGUAAAUUUCAUCUAAAGCUAAAUAUUGGCGAGAGACCGAUAGCGAACAAGUACCGUGAGGGAAAGAUGAAAAGAACUUUGAAAAGAGAGUUAAACAGUACGUGAAAUUGUCAAAAGGGAAGCGUUUGACACCAGUGUUGUUUUUCUGAAAAUCAAUUAAAGAACUGUUUAUGCUAAGUUGUUUAGACUUUAUCAGCUAACUGUUUAGUUUUGAGCUUUUCUUUAAUGCACUUUUCAGUUAACUAAGUCAACAUCAAUUUCUUUUGCUGUAAAAAAGCUUGAGGAAGGUGGCUUGAGAUUCGUCUUAAGUGUUUAUAGCCUCUUGCCUAUGCAGUCGGAGAGAUUGAGGUCUGCAGCGUAGAUCCUUCGGGGCUAAAUGCAUUUGUGCUAAGUUAUAGCAUUUUAUAGACAACUUGUUGACUAUGAUUUGUCUUGUAGCUUACUCGCUUAUGUUAUUUUACCUACGCUUAGGAUGUUGAACGCGCACAGAGUCUC
rnacentral:rRNA from 1 species